rnacentral:rRNA from 1 species
UACAGAGGUCCCAAGCGUUGUUCGGAUUCACUGGGCGUAAAGGGUGCGUAGGUGGCAUAGGUUAGUUGAUGUGAAAUCUCCGGGCUUAACCCGGAAAUGGCAUUGAAUACUACUGUGCUGGAGGUUUGGAGGGGGGGACUGGAAUUCUCGGUGUAGCAGUGAAAUGCGUAGAUAUCGAGAGGAACACCAGUGGCGAAGGCGGGUCUCUGGGCCACUACUGACGCUGAGAAGCGAAAGCAUGGGGAGCGAACAGG